UACGUAGGGUGCAAGCGUUGUCCGGAAUUAUUGGGCGUAAAGAGCUCGUAGGCGGUCUGUCGCGUCUGCUGUGAAAACUCAGGGCUUAACCCUGAGCUUGCAGUGGGUACGGGCAGACUAGAGUGCGGUAGGGGAGACUGGAAUUCCUGGUGUAGCGGUGAAAUGCGCAGAUAUCAGGAGGAACACCGGUGGCGAAGGCGGGUCUCUGGGCCGUAACUGACGCUGAGGAGCGGAAAGCAUGGGGAGCGAACAGG
rnacentral:rRNA from 1 species